AAUAGAUACCCGGGUAGUCCACGCCGUAAACGAUGGAUACUAGCUGUUUGAGCGCAAGUUUGAGUGGCUAAGCGAAAGUGAUAAGUAUCCCACCUGGGGAGUACGGGCGCAAGCCUGAAACUCAAAGGAAUUGACGGGGGCCCGCACAAGCGGUGGAGCAUGUGGUUUAAUUCGAUGAUACGCGAGGAACCUUACCAGGGCUUAAAUGUAGAUUGACGUAUUUGGAAACAGAUAUUUCUUCGGACAAUUUACAAGGUGCUGCAUGGUUGUCGUCAGCUCGUGCCGUGAGGUGUCAGGUUAAGUCCUAUAACGAGCGCAACCCCUGUUGUUAGUUGCCAGCGAGUAAUGUCGGGAACUCUAGCAAGACUGCCAGUGUAAACUGUGAGGAAGGUGGGGAUGACGUCAAAUCAUCACGGCCCUUACGUCCUGGGCCACACACGUGCUACAAUGGCCGGUACAGAGAGCAGUCACUUAGCGAUAAGGAGCGAAUCUAUAAAGCCGGUCACAGUUCGGAUCGGAGU
rnacentral:rRNA from 1 species